rnacentral:tRNA from 1 species
CACUGUAAAGCUACUUGGCAUUAACCUUUUAAGUUAA